GGAUGAACGCUAGCGGGAGGCCUAACACAUGCAAGCCGAGCGGUAUUUGUUCUUCGGAACAGAGAGAGCGGCGCACGGGUGCGGAACACGUGUGCAACCUGCCUUUAUCUGGGGGAUAGCCUUUCGAAAGGAAGAUUAAUACCCCAUAAUAUAUUGAGUGGCAUCAUUUGAUAUUGAAAACUCCGGUGGAUAGAGAUGGGCACGCGCAAGAUUAGAUAGUUGGUGAGGUAACGGCUCACCAAGUCAAUGAUCUUUAGGGGGCCUGAGAGGGUGAUCCCCCACACUGGUACUGAGACACGGACCAGACUCCUACGGGAGGCAGCAGUGAGGAAUAUUGGACAAUGGGUUAGCGCCUGAUCCAGCCAUCCCGCGUGAAGGACGACGGCCCUAUGGGUUGUAAACUUCUUUUGUAUAGGGAUAAACCUACUCUCGUGAGAGUAGCUGAAGGUACUAUACGAAUAAGCACCGGCUAACUCCGUG
rnacentral:rRNA from 1 species